GCAUGAUAAUAAAAAAACAAGGAUCUAAUUGUUACAUAAGAAUGUGGAUCAAUAACAAAUUGCAUGUAUUGACUAUCUUAUCUAUUGUGCACGCAUGCUUAUAAAUUGUGCAAGUUAAAAAUAAACCAAUAAUCAUACUGUUCAAUUUAUUAGAUAUAGAACAAGUUUUCUCCUGGAUUAUGACGACAAAACAUAGAACCUUGUUUCUGGGUGGAAGGUAUCAAAAAGUACUAUGUGCCAGAAGACAUGAUAGUGAGCCAGAAGACAUGACAGUGUUGCCAGGAAACAUGACAGUGUGCAAGAAGACAUGAAAUUUGGUUAUAGCAUAAAUUCUCGCUUCACGCUAGAUUAUUUGAUGGCCACUUGUCUGUAUCUUUGACAUAUUGGGAAACAUUUGCAAAAGCUGAAAUGAAAAAACAACUUGAUGGAAGUCCUCGGAAACUUAUGGCAAGAAUCAUUUGGCCAAGUACAUUGUGAGUUCAGAGAUGUUGCUCUAAACAAAUGGAGACUAGAGGCAACAAUUUACUGAUAAACCUUACAUAGACCAAACUGGCGAAUUGGAAAUUCAAAAAGACUUGGAAAAGCAUGUAGCCAUGUUGCUGCAUUAUUAUUUAAGGUGAUGAUGGCUACACUGUGGGGACUGAAUAGAGAAUCCAAGACCAGUGUUUCUGUACAUGGAACCAGUUUUAUAGAAAGAAGAAGGAAAAGCAUCCAGUGUAUUUGUGAUAGCCACCUCAGAUGGUAGAACUCAACCUCUGCAAAGAUGCAGGGUAUGCCAAUUGAUGCAAGUUGAAUUUAUAUAAACACACCAAGCAGCCUUCAACAGGCUGGUGAAAAUGUCCGAUUGGGCUUAAGACAUAAAAUAUCAUAUUUCUAGAAAGAUAAUUAAUAUGUUUCUCUCUUACUUGCUUUGAUUAUUAAGCAUUGAUAUAUGAUACAAAUCAAAAUAAAAAUAUUUUGGUUAUCUUUUAUUUUCUUAGAAUUAUUUCCUUUUUUCCUCUAGAAACCAUGGAGCUAAAUACAAGAUGGAGAAGAGACUGUGACGUCACACUGUUAAAAUCAGUAUCCGUGGAAUUGUGUUCCCGCAAGUUUUCAAUGUCGCUAGAUUUUGCGAGAUUUGAUGCAUCCUGGGUAAAAGUAGCCAAAAUACCGCCAUAUUGAAUUCCCAGAGGUACAUCAACAAAAAAUACUAAACAUUUUUUACUUAUAUAAGAAGCAAUAGUUAUUUAUUCUAAAACAUACAAAACACACUUUUCCACACAAAUAUUUCUACGAUGAAAAUCCAUGUCGGCAAAGUAAGCAAUAAUUCACGGAUAUCGCCGAAGUUUGCAGGGUUGUCAUUAAGGGGCGGCAGGAGGCCAAAAUGCCUGUCUCAAAUGCAUUAUGGGCUGCCUCAAAAUUAAGAAAACACUCUUUGUUAUGCAUGAUAAAGACAGAAAUGACCGCCUCAAGUUCAAAACAAACCUUCUGCAAAAAAUGUUAAUGACAACCCUGAGUUUGACGAUAGCAUGAAAAUCAGAGACUAGCGGGAAAGCCCGAUUAUCACCAAAGCGCGCAAAGGAUUGUGGGUAUGAAUCAGACUCUCGUCUUUUUUCGGAGUUUCCUAUCCGUUGUUUAUAUAUCUGUUUAGAAACAAAAUAUUUGAAGUUCAUAAAAAUUAUAUUGUAAUGUAAAAUUCUAAAUAGAAAUGUGUCCAACAACUUCAUUUUGCUCUAGAUAAUUGCGCCAGUACCUUUAUUCUAUAUAUUUGGAUUAAAUAUUCUGUUUCUGGCAUUUAUAUUUUGACAAUUCUUUGACACUAAACAUUAUACUUUGAAGUUUUUUCUGAAAACUGAAUGAAAUGUAUGCUGACAGGUGUUGGCGCAAUGAAUUAGACCAUAAAGAAGUUAUUAAACCUAUUUUGUUUACACUUUGCAUAUGUAACAUACUUUUUAAGGACUUCAAAAAUUGUGUUAUAAGAACAUGAAAAAGGGGAAAUAAUUCUCACAAAAGUGACAGUAGCCAAAUAUUUUUCUUUCUCAGUCUAUGUCUAAUAUUAUUCUCAAUAAACAAACAAUGUUUAAAAGAAAUAUCUUUAUUUCUUUUCUAGAGAUAUGAUUUUUUAUGACAUAAGCCCGAUCAGCCUGUUCAAGGUCUUAAAAUUUGUAACAUUUGUCAUUUCUGAUUA